GGAUUAGAUACCCUGGUAGUCCACCCCGUAAACGUUGGGAACUAGUUGUGGGGUCCAUUCCACGGAUUCCGUGACGCAGCUAACGCAUUAAGUUCCCCGCCUGGGGAGUACGGCCGCAAGGCUAAAACUCAAAGGAAUUGACGGGGACCCGCACAAGCGGCGGAGCAUGCGGAUUAAUUCGAUGCAACGCGAAGAACCUUACCAAGGCUUGACAUAUACGAGAACGCUGCAGAAAUGUAGAACUCUUUGGACACUCGUAAACAGGUGGUGCAUGGUUGUCGUCAGCUCGUGCCG
rnacentral:rRNA from 1 species